rnacentral:rRNA from 1 species
CACAUGCAGUCGAGCGAAGCAGUUAAGAAGAUUCUUCGGAUGAAACUUGAUUGACUGAGCGGCGAACGGGUGAGUAACGCGUGGGUGACCUGCCCCAUACCGGGGGAUAACAGCUGGAAACGGCUGCUAAUACCGCAUAAGCGCACAGAGCUGCAUGGCUCAGUGUGAAAAACUCCGGUGGUAUGGGAUGGGCCCGCGUCUGAUUAGGCAGUUGGCGGGGUAACGGCCCACCAAACCGACGAUCAGUAGCCGGCCUGAGAGGGCGACCGGCCACAUUGGGACUGAGACACGGCCCAAACUCCUACGGGAGGCAGCAGUGGGGAAUAUUGCACAAUGGGGGAAACCCUGAUGCAGCGACGCCGCGUGAGCGAAGAAGUAUUUCGGUAUGUAAAGCUCUAUCAGCAGGGAAGAUAAUGACGGUACCUGACUAAGAAGCCCCGGCUAACUACGUGCCAGCAGCCGCGGUAAUACGUAGGGGGCAAGCGUUAUCCGGAUUUACUGGGUGUAAAGGGAGCGUAGACGGCAAGGCAAGUCUGAUGUGAAAACCCAGGGCUUAACCCUGGGACUGCAUUGGAAACUGUCUGGCUCGAGUGCCGGAGAGGUAAGCGGAAUUCCUAGUGUAGCGGUGAAAUGCGUAGAUAUUAGGAAGAACACCAGUGGCGAAGGCGGCUUACUGGACGGUAACUGACGUUGAGGCUCGAAAGCGUGGGGAGCAAACAGGAUUAGAUACCCUGGUAGUCCACGCCGUAGACGAUGAAUGCUAGGUGUUGGGGAGCAAAGCUCUUCGGUGCCGCCGCAACGCAUUAAGCAUUCCACCUGGGGAGUACGUUCGCAAGAAUGAAACUCAAGGAAUUGACGG